AGCAGGCCCUUAACAGAGGGGCUGCUCCAAGCAGCCCUGAGAAAAGCUUUUUAUGAGGUAAAAAGUGAAGACUUCAAGGGCAGCAGCGGUGGUAAAUGUCUUGUGACAUUCACUGCUGCAGCUCCAGCUCUCCCCAGCGGCGCUGUACACUCCCGAGCCCUGGUUGCCGGGUACCUACAGCGGAGGCUCCGGUUUUCUUCAUGUUAGACACACACGGCUGGGGCUCUCCAGGAUCGCGUGGCCGCGCUUCGGGAGGUGGAUGAUUGCACAACGGAGGAAAAGGAAAACACUGCGGCCCAAAUGAGGAAUUUGAAGUUUUUGGCGCCUGCGGACGGUAGGACUUCGGCACCUGCGGCCGGUAGGACUACGGCACCUGUGGACGGUAGGACUUCGGCACCUGCGGCCGGUAGGACUUCGGCACCUGCGGCCGGUAGGACUUCGGCACCUGCGGCCGCAGCUUGAAACAAGCCUCCAUUCGUUCGUGAAAAGGCCUCAAUGCCUCAGUGACCUUUUCUCCGUGAAUGCGUAUUCCCUCAGCCAGAAACGGAACCUACACAUCAUAAAACAUGAAAAUAAAAUGAUUUACAAGCAAAACCAAAUGAAUGAUUCACAAAGAAAAACGUGUAGCUCAGAAGUGGUAAAUUAAUUAUUGGUUCGGGGCUGAAUAAAGGCUUUGGUAAUAUGAUAUUCAUCACACACAUUGAACACAGGGGAGGUCAUGAAGACUCGUGAGAGACAAAAUUCUAAGCUGAGAACGCCGUAUUACUGUAAUGCAUCUGAUUCAGUCAUCGGUUAGGGACACUGACAAAUAUGUAUGUAAAAGUUACAUUUCCUGUCAAAACUAAUGCAAACUUUUGUUCUAUUGGAGAUUGCAGAAUCACCCCCCACUAAGGCCACUGAUGCUGCAAUAAGGUGAAACACACAGUGCCAAAAUAGUACAGAUGUGCCCUUAUACACUUUUGCCUUGGAUGCGUUUGCAAAUUAAUCCAGAGAACUAGGGAAUCUGCCCUGUCUAUGGGCACGUAUUCUCCCGCUACCUGCGGUUUUGUCCGGGUUUCUCGGCGCCGUUCGUGAGUGUGUGCUUGCGCGCGAACCUGCACAUUUUUAGUAGAACAAAGGAUUGCAAUGGCGUGGCGUUGCAGCGAUCCACAUCAUGCUGCCCUUUUCAGCAAAGAUGUGUGAGGACACAUCUGUAAGUCAUUAUUACAUAAUUACACUAAUUGUGCUUCACCCUUACUAUUCUACCAUUUAAAAGAGGUGUAGAGCAGAACUGCACUCUCUUUCCUGCCAAUAACCCGUAUGAAGGAUCCAGAUACUCACGUCCCCUGGGUGCUGUCCAUGAGACAACAUUAGGAUCUACUGUAUGUGUGCUACUAUAGUACAAUGAUCUAUAGUGCAAGGGUAUACAGCACACAAUAUGAAUCAGGGACAUUACAGCCAUGUGAAAUAUUUCUAAUGGAAUAACGGAACAUUUAAUUGUCACUAAAGUCCAGUGGCUGCAAAUAAUGGACUAGCGCAGAAGGCCCGACACAGACUCCGAUUGCGUUAAAGAAUUCCUUUUAAAAACGUGAACACGCAGAUUUUAGGUACAAUUUAAUCAUUUACUGGCCUCGUUUUUCUUUAGCUGCAUCACCUAUAUAUUUACUGCAAAUAACCUAAACCUACGGUCCUUUAUCAAUAAUAGAAACAUAAUUUCACCAGUAUCCAUGGCUACCAAUUACUUACAGAUUACAGUAGAAAAAAAACUCCAACACCACCUUUGAAAAGACUUACAAAAGCUUUUAGAGACAUAAACACAAGAUCCGAAAAUUAUAUAUUCAUUGUAUACCUGCCCUACAAAAGCCAUUGUUCCAGAGCCUCAAAGAGACUUUCAAUAACAGACAUAAUUGAGAUUAGAACAACAUAUUGCUGUAUCCGCUAAUAAAAGUGAUUUAUCAUUCUAAA